GGGCCCGUAGCUCAGCAGGUCAGAGCAGUCGACUCAUAAUCGAUCGGUCGCAGGUUCGAGCCCGGCCGGGCCCACCA
rnacentral:tRNA from 1 species